UUGGGAAUCUGGGAGCACUCUUCUUGGUGCCUUUGGCUCAGGAUCACUCACAAGGCUGCAGUCAAGGUAUCCCCUGGGGCAGCCAUCGUCUCAAGCCUCCGCUGGAAGAGGGUGCAUGUCCAAGCUUGCCCAUGUGGCUGUGGGCAGGCCUCAAGUCUUCACUGGCUGUUGGCUGAAGGCAUCAAUUUCUUGCCAUGUGGGUCUCCCCACAGGGCAAUUCACAACAUGGCGACUGGCUUUCCUGAGAGCAAGCAAACAAGAGCAGGCAAGAAGGUGCCCAAACAGGCCACCCCCUUUUUGUAACUUAUUCAUAGAAGUGACAUCCCUUUAUCUUGUGCCCUGCUGAAUGCUUAGAGGCAGAGCCCCACCAACCAGGCCUGGCGAUCAUGACAUCCAAUUCCAGGGGCUGCAGGGGAGCCCUUCCUUCCGAGUGAGCCACGAGGCUGCCUGCCCUGGUGUUUGGCUUCAGGCAGCUCUGACAUCAAUCUGUCAUUCCAGAGGACACUUUUAGAUAAACAGUCUUGCUCUGUUGCCAGGCUGGAGUACAGUGGCACGAUCUUGGCUCACUGCAAUCUCCACCUCCCAGGUUCAAGCGAUUCUCCUGCCUCAGACUCCUGAAUAGCUGGGACUACAGGCAUGUGCCACCACAUCCGGCUAAUUUUUUGUAUUUUUUUAGUAGAGAUGUGGUUUCACCAUGUUGGCCAGGAUGGUCUCAAUCUCCUGACCUCAUGAUCCACCCGCCUUGGCCUCCCAAAGUGCUGGGAUUGCAGGCAUGAGCCACUGUGCCCGGCCUGCAAAUUCUUUUAAAGUACACUUUUAUAGUUGUAUAAUGCCAGUGUAGACUAACCUCUGUAACAACCAACCUUCAAAUGUCAAUGUCUUAAUAUCUUACUUUCGUAUCAAAAUACAAAGUGAGUCAGCAGGGAGACUGUUCCAGUGUCAUUCAGGGACCCUGACUUCUUCCAUCCUGUGGUUCUACCUUACCCUGGGUACUCUUCACUCAACUUAUGGAUGGGCAAAGGGAAGCGUUCAUCUGAGGUGGUCGUGUGAGUCUGUGUGAGCCUGCAAGCACUGCCCAUCUCUUACACCCACACCCCAUUGGCCAGAACUCUGUUCUCUGAUAAACAGUGGCAUCGUUGUUGUGCUUGACCACAAGAAAAGGAAUUGUGUGUCCAGGAAAGAGAGAAGAUGCAUGUAGCUGAGGAGUGGCAGUUUCGGCUGUAAAUAUAUAACCUCACCCAAGGGGGUGCUUCACCUAAAAACUUGCAGUAGGCAGAAUGAUGGUGUCCCCAGUGACGUCCACGUCCUCAUCCCAGAAUCUGUGACUAUGUCACCUUACAUGCACAAGGACCUUGCAGAUGGGAUUAAGCUGAGAAUCCUGAGAUGGGGAUGUUUUCCUGGAUAAUCUGGGCAGGCCCAGUAUCAUCACAAAGGUCCUUAGAAGUGGAAGAGGGAGGCAGGAGAGUCAGAGAGAGGUUUGAAGAUGCCGUACUGAAGGCUUUGAAGGUGGAGGAAAGGGCAAGGAACCCAGGCAGCCUCUGGAAGCAGGAAAAGGUGAAGGAAUGAAUCCCUGGAGGACGCAGCCCUGCCAACACCUCAAUUUCAGCACAGUGAGACCCAUUUUGGACCUCUGAUCUUUAAGACUAUGAGAUAAUAAAUCUGCAUUGUUGUAAGCCUCCAAGUUUGUGGCAAUUUGUUACAGCAGCCAUAGGAAAUGGAUACGGAGCUCUCUCAAUGUUGUAUCCCUACCAUGUGCCUGACCCAUUGGAGGUUCACCCAGUAGGCACAUUUUUUUCAUGUGGGCUUCAAU
rnacentral:lncRNA from 10 species